GACGAACGCUGGCGGCGUGCUUAACACAUGCAAGUCGAGCGGUAAGGCCCUUUCGGGGGUACACGAGCGGCGAACGGGUGAGUAACACGUGGGUGACCUGCCCUCAGCUCUGGGAUAAGCCUGGGAAACCGGGUCUAAUACCGGAUAUGACUCCAUGACGCAUGUUGUGGGGUGGAAAGCCUUGUGCGGCUGAGGAUGGGCCCGCGGCCUAUCAGCUUGUUGGUGGGGUGAUGGCCUACCAAGGCGACGACGGGUAGCCGGCCUGAGAGGGCGACCGGCCACACUGGGACUGAGACACGGCCCAGACUCCUACGGAAGGCAGCAGUGGGGAAUCUUGCGCAAUGGGCGAAAGCCUGACGCAGCGACGCCGCGUGAGGGAUGACGGCCU
rnacentral:rRNA from 1 species